rnacentral:rRNA from 1 species
GACGAACGCUGGCGCCGUGCCUAAUACAUGCAAGUAGAACGCUGAAGAGAGGAGCUUGCUCUUCUUGGAUGAGUUGCGAACGGGUGAGUAACGCGUAGGUAACCUGCCUUGUAGCGGGGGAUAACUAUUGGAAACGAUAGCUAAUACCGCAUAACAAUGGAUGACACAUGUCAUUUAUUUGAAAGGGGCAAUUGUUCCACUACAAGAUGGACCUGCGUUGUAUUAGCUAGUAGGUGAGGUAAUGGCUCACCUAGGCGACGAUACAUAGCCGACCUGAGAGGGUGAUCGGCCACACUGGGACUGAGACACGGCCCAGACUCCUACGGGAGGCAGCAGUAGGGAAUCUUCGGCAAUGGGGGCAACCCUGACCGAGCAACGCCGCGUGAGUGAAGAAGGUUUUCGGAUCGUAAAGCUCUGUUGUAAGUCAAGAACGGGUGUGAGAGUGGAAAGUUCACACUGUGACGGUAGCUUACCAGAAAGGGACGGCUAACUACGUGCCAGCAGCCGCGGUAAUACGUAGGUCCCGAGCGUUGUCCGGAUUUAUUGGGCGUAAAGCGAGCGCAGGCGGUUUGAUAAGUCUGAAGUUAAAGGCUGUGGCUCAACCAUAGUUCGCUUUGGAAACUGUCAAACUUGAGUGCAGAAGGGGAGAGUGGAAUUCCAUGUGUAGCGGUGAAAUGCGUAGAUAUAUGGAGGAACACCGGUGGCGAAAGCGGCUCUCUGGUCUGUAACUGACGCUGAGGCUCGAAAGCGUGGGGAGCGAACAGGAUUAGAUACCCUGGUAGUCCACGCCGUAAACGAUGAGUGCUAGGUGUUGGAUCCUUUCCGGGAUUCAGUGCCGCAGCUAACGCAUUAAGCACUCCGCCUGGGGAGUACGACCGCAAGGUUGAAACUCAAAGGAAUUGACGGGGGCCCGCACAAGCGGUGGAGCAUGUGGUUUAAUUCGAAGCAACGCGAAGAACCUUACCAGGUCUUGACAUCCCGAUGCUAUUUCUAGAGAUAGAAAGUUACUUCGGUACAUCGGUGACAGGUGGUGCAUGGUUGUCGUCAGCUCGUGUCGUGAGAUGUUGGGUUAAGUCCCGCAACGAGCGCAACCCCUAUUGUUAGUUGCCAUCAUUCAGUUGGGCACUCUAGCGAGACUGCCGGUAAUAAACCGGAGGAAGGUGGGGAUGACGUCAAAUCAUCAUGCCCCUUAUGACCUGGGCUACACACGUGCUACAAUGGUUGGUACAACGAGUUGCGAGUCGGUGACGGCGAGCUAAUCUCUUAAAGCCAAUCUCAGUUCGGAUUGUAGGCUGCAACUCGCCUACAUGAAGUCGGAAUCGCUAGUAAUCGCGGAUCAGCACGCCGCGGUGAAUACGUUCCCGGGCCU